GCAGCCAUGCCGCGUGUAUGAAGAAGGCCUUCGGGUUGUAAAGUACUUUCAGCAGUGAGGAAGGUGGAUGUGUUAAUAGCGCCUUCAUUUGACGUUAGCUGCAGAAGAAGCACCGGCUAACUCCGUGCCAGCAGCCGCGGUAAUACGGAGGGUGCGAGCGUUAAUCGGAAUUACUGGGCGUAAAGCGCAUGCAGGUGGUUUGUUAAGUCAGAUGUGAAAGCCCGGGGCUCAACCUCGGAAUUGCAUUUGAAACUGGCAGACUAGAGUACUGUAGAGGGGGGUAGAAUUUCAGGUGUAGCGGUGAAAUGCGUAGAGAUCUGAAGGAAUACCGGUGGCGAAGGCGGCCCCCUGGACAGAUACUGACACUCAGAUGCGAAAGCGUGGGGAGCAAACAGGAUUAGAUACCCUGGUAGUCCACGCCGUAAACGAUGUCUAUCUUUAGGUUGUGGCCUUGAGCCGUGGCUUUCGGAGCUAACGCGUUAAGUAGACCGCCUGGGGAUUAC
rnacentral:rRNA from 1 species